rnacentral:rRNA from 1 species
GAAAAGAAACUAACAAGGAUUCCCCUAGUAACGGCGAGUGAAGCGGGAAGAGCUCAAAUUUGUAAUCUGGCACUUUCAGUGUCCGAGUUGUAAUCUCGAGAAGUAUUUUCCGCGCCGGACCGCAUACAAGUCUGUUGGAAUACAGCGUCAUAGUGGUGAGAACCCCGUAACUGAUGCGGAUGCCCGGUGCUUUGUGAUAUACUUUCGAAGAGUCGAGUUGUUUGGGAAUGCAGCUCAAAUUGGGUGGUAAAUUCCAUCUAAAGCUAAAUAUUGGAGCAAGACCGAUAGCGAACAAGUACCGUGAGGGAAAGAUGAAAAGCACUUUGGAAAGAGAGUUAACAGUACGUGAAAUUGUUGGAAGGGAAACGCUUGAAGUCAGACUUGCUAUUCGGAGUUCAGCCGCAAGGUGUAUUCUUCGAUUCGCAGGCCAGCAUCAGUUUUCGGGGGUGGAAAAUCGCGGUUUGAAGGUAGCAACUUCGGUUGUGUUAUAGCUUUCCGCUGGAUUCAUCCUUGGGGACUGAGGAACGCAGUACGCUUUUUGCAAGGCUUUCGAGCUUUUCGUACUUAG